rnacentral:rRNA from 1 species
GAUGAACGCUGGCGGCGUGCCUAAUACAUGCAAGUCGAGCGAACAGACGAGGAGCUUGCUCCUCUGACGUUAGCGGCGGACGGGUGAGUAACACGUGGAUAACCUACCUAUAAGACUGGGAUAACUUCGGGAAACCGGAGCUAAUACCGGAUAAUAUAUUGAACCGCGUGGGUCAAUAGUGAAAGACGGUUUUGCUGUCACGUAUAGAUGGAUCCGCGCCGCAUUAGCGGGUUGGUAAGGUAACGGCUUACCAAGGCGACGAUGCGUAGCCGACCUGAGAGGGUGAUCGGCCACACUGGAACUGAGACACGGCCCAGAGUCCUACGGGAGGCAGCAGUAGGGAAUCUUCCGCAAUGGGCGAAAGCCUGACGGAGCAACGCCGCGUGAGUGAUGAAGGUCUUCGGAUCGUAAAACUCUGUUAUUAGGGAAGAACAAAUGUGUAAGUAACGAUGCACGUCUUGACGGUACCGAUUCAGAAAGCCACGGCUAACUACGU